ACGACAUUCAAGAACGUACCGAUGUGUUCCGCUUGUAUCGAGAAAGGAAGUGUCCGAUGACUCGUUGGCUCAUCCCGUAAACUCGAUUUAUCGUGCUUGUCCGCGGUAUUCGUCGUUUCGACCCUCGGCCAUGAAUAUUUAUCACGUUUCGGAAACAAUUUGCCGAUUCUUUUCUCCCAAGUCGCUGUGCCGCGUCGCGUUGCACUGCGCAUGCGUCGCGCAGGCGCGCGGGCAUCGGUGCGCGCGCACCUCACUUUAGCGCCAUUUUUCACGCGCGCGGUCUGCGUAACAAUAAAUUUCGACACGCGUUUAUCUCGCCGGGGAGUUAAUUUACUCAUUAACUUUGUUUCGCGUUUGUCUCGCCGUGGAAGGAACGAGAAACAUUAGCGCGAACUAGCUGCUUAACGUCCGGAAUCGUUCGCCGUGAAAUACGAAGCACGAUACGAAGUGGCGCGGCUCUGCACUGGAAAGUCUAUACAAAUGGCGUGUUGGGGGAAAGGGGGGGCUAUUGACGCAGUUCACUGCGUGAGAAAGUGAACAUCGAUGGAGGUCGUGUUUUUUGUGGAAUGGAGCAUCUAAAUGGUAGUGAUGAGAGGUUAGGAAAAAAGGAAGCUGCGGCACGUUUGCAGCUGGAAUUCCCUAGGCUACAAUCGAACGGAAAAGAAGAACAGAUUAGAGGUGCGUCGAGGUGCUUCAACCAUUGGAUCGGCAACUCCAGUGG